rnacentral:rRNA from 1 species
UACGGAGGGUGCAAGCGUUAUCCGGAUUUACUGGGUUUAAAGGGUGUGUAGGCGGGCUUUUAAGUCAGUGGUGAAAUCUCCGGGCUCAACCCGGAAACUGCCAUUGAUACUAUUAGUCUUGAAUUCUGUUGAGGUAGGCGGAAUAAGUCAUGUAGCGGUGAAAUGCAUAGAUACAAUCAAGAACUCCGAUUGCGUAGGCAGCUAACUAGGCUGUAACUGACGCUGAGGCACGAAAGCGUGGGGAGCGAACAGG